rnacentral:rRNA from 1 species
AGGGAAUCUUCCGCAAUGGACGAAAGUCUGACGGAGCAACGCCGCGUGAGUGAAGAAGGCCUUCGGGUCGUAAAACUCUGUUGCCGGGGAAGAACAAGUGCCGUUCGAACAGGGCGGCGCCUUGACGGUACCCGGCCAGAAAGCCACGGCUAACUACGUGCCAGCAGCCGCGGUACUACGUAGGUGGCAAGCGUUGUCCGGAAUUAUUGGGCGUAAAGCGCGCGCAGGCGGUUUCUGAAGUAUGAUGUGAAAGCUUGCGGCUCAACCGCAAGCGGUCAUUGGAAACUGGGAGGCUUGAGUGCAGAAGAGGAGAGUGGAAUUCCACGUGUAGCGGUGAAAUGCGUAGAGAUGUGGAGGAACACCAGUGGCGAAGGCGGCUCUCUGGUCUGUAACUGACGCUGAGGCGCGAAAGCGUGGGGAGCAAAC